rnacentral:rRNA from 1 species
GACGAACGCUGGCGGCGUGCUUAACACAUGCAAGUCGAACGGAAAGGCCCUGCUUUUGUGGGGUGCUCGAGUGGCGAACGGGUGAGUAACACGUGAGUAACCUGCCCUUGACUUUGGGAUAACUUCGGGAAACUGGGGCUAAUACCGGAUAGGAGCUCCUGCUGCAUGGUGGGGGUUGGAAAGUUUCGGCGGUUGGGGAUGGACUCGCGGCUUAUCAGCUUGUUGGUGGGGUAGUGGCUUACCAAGGCUUUGACGGGUAGCCGGCCUGGGAGGGUAACAGGCCCCCUUGGGACUGAAAUGCGGCCCAGACCCCUACCGGAGGCAGCAGUGGGGAAUAUUGCACAAUGGGCGGAAGCCUGAUGCAGCAACGCCGCGUGCGGGAUGACGGCCUUCGGGUUGUAAACCGCUUUCGCCUGUGACGAAGCGUGAGUGACGGUAAUGGGUAAAGAAGCACCGGCUAACUACGUG